rnacentral:tRNA from 3 species
GCGGGAAUUGCCAAGUCUGGUCUAAGGCGGUGGACUUAGAAUCCAUUCUCGUAGGAGUUCGGGAGUUCAAAUCUCCCUUCCCGCA